rnacentral:rRNA from 1 species
UACGAAGGGGGCUAGCGUUGUUCGGAAUUACUGGGCGUAAAGCGCGCGCAGGCGGUCUUCCAAGUCAGUGGUGAAAGCCCGGAGCUCAACUCCGGAACUGCCAUUGAAACUGUUAGACUUGAGGAUGAGAGAGGUGAGUGGAAUUCCCAGUGUAGAGGUGAAAUUCGUAGAUAUUAGGAAGAACACCGGUGGCGAAGGCGGCCCACUGGUCCGGUACUGACGCUGAGGUGCGAAAGCGUGGGGAGCAAACAGG